UACGGGGGGGGCAAGCGUUGUUCGGAAUUACUGGGCGUAAAGGGUUUGUAGGUGGCUUGCUAAGUCAGACGUGAAAUCCCUCAGCUUAACUGGGGAACUGCGUCUGAGACUGGUGAGCUUGAGUGCAGGAGAGGAACGCGGAAUUCCAGGUGUAGCGGUGAAAUGCGUAGAUAUCUGGAGGAACACCGGUGGCGAAGGCGGCGUUCUGGACUGUAACUGACACUGAUGAACGAAAGCCAGGGGAGCAAACGGG
rnacentral:rRNA from 1 species